rnacentral:tRNA from 1 species
GGAAGCGUGGCAGAGUGGUUGAAUGCAACGGUCUUGAAAACCGUCGUGCCUUCACGGGCACCGUGGGUUCGAAUCCCACCGCUUCCGCCA